rnacentral:rRNA from 1 species
GGGGGCAACCCUGAUCCAGCAAUGCCGCGUGUGUGAAGAAGGCCUUCGGGUUGUAAAGCACUUUUGUCCGGGAAGAAAUCCUUUCUGAUAAUACCGGAGGGGGAUGACGGUACCGGAAGAAUAAGCACCGGCUAACUACGUGCCAGCAGCCGCGGUAAUACGUAGGGUGCGAGCGUUAAUCGGAAUUACUGGGCGUAAAGCGUGCGCAGGCGGUGAUGUAAGACCGAUGUGAAAUCCCCGGGCUUAACCUGGGAACUGCAUUGGUGACUGCAUCGCUGGAGUAUGGCAGAGGGGGGUGGAAUUCCACGUGUAGCAGUGAAAUGCGUAGAGAUGUGGAGGAACACCGAUGGCGAAGGCAGCCCCCUGGGCCAAUACUGACGCUCAUGCACGAAAGCGUGGGGAGCAAACAGGAUUAGAUACCCUGGUAGUCCACGCCCUAAACGAUGUCAACUGGUUGUCGGGCCUUCAUUGGCUUGGUAACGUAGCUAACGCGUGAAGUUGACCGCCUGGGGAGUACGGU